rnacentral:rRNA from 1 species
GACUCUCGGCAACGGAUAUCUCGGCUCACGCAUCGAUGAAGAACGUAGCAAAAUGCGAUACUUGGUGUGAAUUGCAGAAUCCCGUGAACCAUCGAGUUUUUGAACGCAAGUUGCGCCCGAAGCCUUUCGGCCGAGGGCACGUCUGCCUGGGCGUCACAU